ANAGAUUUUUCGGUUCGGGAGGGGCNNNCGGCCNNNNAGCUUGUUGGUGNNNNNNNNNCUCACCAAGGCGUCGACGGGUAGCCGGCCUGAGAGGGNNNCCGGCCACACUGGGACUGAGACACGGCCCAGACUCCUACGGGAGGCAGCAGUGGGGAAUAUUGCACAAUGGGCGCAAGCCUGAUGCAGCAACGCCGCGUGAGGGAUGACGGCCUUCGGGUUGUAAACCUCUUUUAGUAGGGAAGAAGCGAGAGUGACGGUACCUGCAGAAAAAGCACCGGCUAACUACGUGCCAGCAGCCGCGGUAAUACGUAGGGUGCAAGCGUUAUCCGGAAUUAUUGGGCGUAAAGAGCUCGUAGGCGGUUUGUCGCGUCUGCUGUGAAAACUAGAGGCUCAACCUCUAGCUUGCAGUGGGUACGGGCAGACUAGAGUGCGGUAGGGGAGAUUGGAAUUCCUGGUGUAGCGGUGGAAUGCGCAGAUAUCAGGAGGAACACCGAUGGCGAAGGCAGAUCUCUGGGCCGUAACUGACGCUGAGGAGCGAAAGAGUGGGGAGCAAACAGGCUUAGAUACCCUGGUAGUCCACUCCGUAAACGUUGGGAACUAGUUGUGGGGGCCUUUCUACGGUCUCCGUGACGCAGCUAACGCAUUAAGUUCCCCGCCUGGGGAGUACGGCCGCAAGGCUAAAACUCAAAGGAAUUGACGGGGACCCGCACAAGCGGCGGAGCAUGCGGAUUAAUUCGAUGCAACGCGAAGAACCUUACCAAGGCUUGACAUAUACCGGAAACGGCUGGAGACAGUCGCCCCCUUGUGGUCGGUAUACAGGUGGUGCAUGGUUGUCGUCAGCUCGUGUCGUGAGAUGUUGGGUUAAGUCCCGCAACGAGCGCAACCCUCGUUCUAUGUUGCCAGCACGUUAUGGUGGGAACUCAUGGAAUACUGCCGGGGUCAACUCGGAGGAAGGUGGGGAUGACGUCAAAUCAUCAUGCCCCUUAUGUCUUGGGCUUCACGCAUGCUACAAUGGCCGGUACAAUGGGCUGCGAUACCGUGAGGUGGAGCGAAUCCCAAAAAGCCGGUCCCAGUUCGGAUUGUAGUCUGCAACUCGACUACAUGAAGUCGGAGUCGCU
rnacentral:rRNA from 1 species